CGGUAAUUCCAGCUCCAAGGGCGUAUACUAAUGUUGUUGCUGUUAAAAAGCUCGUAGUUGGACUUGGAUCUGUUCUGUGCUAGCCACCAUUGGAGUCUCUGGAUCCACGUGGUUACUGGCUGCUUUGAUCCGUGUUUGGCACAAUUGGAUUAGAUCUUUUUCACUGGUUGACUCUGUCUGUGUGAUGGCCUCUUCACUGAGUCCAGAUCGAAUGGAGCCUCUUGGUUCGACUCUGGGGCUGCUCGCAGCCCGAGCGUGGUUCGUAAUGCUUCUCACGCAGUGUGCAUUUGCAUAAGGACAGUUGAUCGUGAUAUCGAGAACAAAACAGCGUGCUUAAGGCUGGAUCAGUAGAUGACAAAGCGUGCUAUAUCAAUGAACCGACCGGUUAUGUGCGGUUUGCAGAUUUCUGCAUGUAAUAGCGGGGAGUCUGAGCUUGUUGGCGUUGGGAAUGUACCCAUCGGCUCACCUCGGUGACCGUGGGACCACAGACCCAAUCAGCUACUCGUUUCAACGAUAUUAACAGGGACCGAUGGAGCAGUCCGUAUUGUCAGACGAGGGGUGGAAUCCUUAGACUCUGACAAGACGAACAAGGGCGAAAGCACUCUGCUAAGAGGCCUUCAUUAAUCAAGAACGAGAGUGCAGGGAUCGAAGAUGAUCAGAUACCGUCGUAGUCUGCUACUGUAAACGAUGCAAACUAGGGAUCAGUUGAUGGGACAACAUGAUUCUGUUGACUCGGUUGGUACCUCCGCUUCUCUCUUAACGCGAAAGCUGCAAGUCUUCGUGUUCAGGGGGGAGUACAGUUGCAAGGCUGAAACUUAAAGGAAUUGACGGAAUGACACCACAAGGCGUGGAUGCUGCGGCUUAAUUUGACUCAACACAGAGAGUGUUACCAGAUCAUGAGGUUUGGAGGAUUGACAGAUUGACAGUUCUUUCUUGAUUCAGUUAAUGGUGGUGCAUGGCCGCUCCUGGUUGGUGGAGUGAUUUGUCUGGUUGAUUCCGUUAACGAACGAGAUCCCACCCCUUCGAUUUCAGUUAUAUCGUACGUAAUCAUUGGACGCUAGCUCAUGUGGUUCGUCCGUUGGUGAGAUCUAAGAUGUAUGCAAGGGGACUAUGUGUGUUGAUAACACAUUGAAGUCUGGGCCAAUAGCAGGUCUGUGAUGCUCCUAGAUGUUCUGGGCUGCACGCGGCAUACAAUGGUGAAAGCAGUAGGAUUGGUUCGAUCGAGCUCCUGUUUCGAAAAUAUUGGGAAAUCCCCUCAGAUUUGACUGUGGCUGGGAUAGACAAUUGCAACUGUUUGUCUUGAACUAGGAAUGCCUUGUAAGCACAUCUCAUUACAGUGUAUUGAAUGCGUCCCUGCCGUUUGUACACACCGCCCGUCGUUGCAAUCGAUUGGUUUGAUCGUAGAGUACUUCUGGAGAAACACCAGCAGGCUCUCUCGAGUCUGAUGAUUGGGUUGAAGUUGAGCAAUACUGUGGAACUAGAGAAUGCAAAAGUCGUAACAAGGUAGCCG
rnacentral:rRNA from 1 species